GAUUAGCUUGUUGGUGAGGUAACGGCUCACCAAGGCGACGAUCCCUAGCUGGUCUGAGAGGAUGACCAGCCACACUGGAACUGAGACACGGUCCAGACUCCUACGGGAGGCAGCAGUGGGGAAUAUUGCACAAUGGGCGCAAGCCUGAUGCAGCCAUGCCGCGUGUAUGAAGAAGGCCUUCGGGUUGUAAAGUACUUUCAGCGGGGAGGAAGGUGUUGUGGUUAAUAACCGCAGCAAUUGACGUUACCCGCAGAAGAAGCACCGGCUAACUCCGUGCCAGCAGCCGCGGUAAUACGGAGGGUGCAAGCGUUAAUCGGAAUUACUGGGCGUAAAGCGCACGCAGGCGGUCUGUCAAGUCGGA
rnacentral:rRNA from 1 species